rnacentral:tRNA from 1 species
GGCUAUAUAGCUCAGUGGUAGAGCAAUAAGAUGCGAAAGCUAGAAAACUUAUGUGUCGGGUGUUCAACUCACUCUGUAGCCACCA